AUUGAACGCUGGCGGCAGGCCUAACACAUGCAAGUCGAGCGAGCGGCGGACGGGUGAGUAAUGUAUGGGAAACUGCCUGAUGGAGGGGGAUAACUACUGGAAACGGUGGCUAAUACCGCAUACCAUCAGAUGUGCCCAGAUGGGAUUAGCUAGUUGGUGGGGUAAAGGCUCACCAAGGCGACGAUCCCUAGCUGGUCUGAGAGGAUGACCAGCCACACGGGAACGGAGACACGGCCCAGACUCCUACGGGAGGCAGCAGUGGGGAAUAGUGCACAAUGGGCGCAAGCCUGAUGCAGCCAUGCCGCGUGUAUGAAGAAGGCCUUCGGGUUGUAAAGUACUUUCAGCGGGGAGGCGUUACCCGCAGAAGAAGCACCGGCUAACUCCGUGCCAGCAGCCGCGGUAAUAC
rnacentral:rRNA from 1 species